ACGGGGCCCGCACAAGCGGAGGAACAUGUGGUUUAAUUCGAUGAUACGCGAGGAACCUUACCUGGGCUUAAAUGUAGAGUGCUAUUUUUUUAGAGAUAGAAAUUCCCUUCGGGGCUUUCUGCAAGGUGCUGCAUGGUUGUCGUCAGCUCGUGCCGUGAGGUGUCGGGUUAAGUCCCAUAACGAGCGCAACCCUUAUCGUUAGUUGCCAUCUGGUAAUGCAGGGGACUCUAGCGAAACUGCCACCGUAAGGUGAGAGGAAGGUGGGGAUGACGUCAAAUCAGCACGGCCCUUAUGUCCAGGGCUACACACGUGUUACAAUGGUUGGUACAACGAGUUGCGAGUCGGUGACGGCGAGCUAAUCUCUUAAAGCCAAUCUCAGUUCGGAUUGUAGGCUGCAACUCGCCUACAUGAAGUCGGAAUCGCUAGUAAUCGCGGAUCAGCACGCCGCGGUGAAUACGUUCCCGGGCCUU
rnacentral:rRNA from 1 species